rnacentral:lncRNA from 1 species
GGAUCGGUUUCAGCAAACCCGAGGCGCAUCCCGCACUUCCUCCCGCAGUUUCCACCGGGGGGACAGGGGUGUGACAUGAGCAGGAGCCAGCCCCGCAGAGGUCACAGCCCUGCGGGGCUGGGGCGACCCGGCCGAGCCGGGGUUUGUGCCUGGAGGAAGCAAACAGGGGCAUGAACGGGCACGCUCUGCUACUCAUUUAAAUGGCCACAAGCACACGGCUCUUCCUGAGGAAUUACAUUAAACGGACUUGGCCGUUUAAUAAACCAGCCCCUGGCUCCCUGCAGCGGUGACCUCUGAUCCCUUAGCAAUUCAAUGAUUCCUUGCAGUGCUGUGCCUGCAGGGCUGGGGCCGAGCGGCGAUAAUGACCGAGGGGUCGUGGACGACAAAACUAUUCGGCGCCGGUGCCCCCAGCUCACCUGCAAGCCUCGCACCAUCCGGCCGUGGCUCUCCUUCCCAGGCUGCCAGGAGUCUCCCGCUGCGAGGAGGAAGGAGAAGCAUCAGAGGAGACAUGGGGAACGAAAGGACGAGAUCAGAAAAAGGAAUAAAAGAAGGAAAUGUAGCGAACACUAAAAACAAGAGGAGGAAUUUUCCCGGGGGGGGAGAGGGAAGUGCCACUUACACGAGCUUUUUUCCCCUACAAUGUCUGCAAAAAUUCUGACAAUGCACGUGCUCGUUUUCCCUUUCCCAUCCCACACAAACCUGUUGUUGUUUUACUUUCAUUAUUUCACUUUGUUGCAUCAGAAAUGCUGAAUCAUAAAACGGGGGUUAGUGAAAAUGGUAUUUAUCUUUAAAGGAAUAAGCCCCACAUUAUUUUAAAGAUCCCCACGCUACUGCUGUUAUUAUUAUUAUUAUUAUUAUCAUCAUCGUGCAUCUUGGCAGGUUGAAAGGUAUCUCAGAACAGUAAGAAUUCAGCAGUAAUUUAACAUCCCACAGAAGUACUUUAAAAGCAUCAAAUAGCAUUUUGAAUUUUAAGUCAGUACAAGUGUAAAUAAAUGGAUGUACUCCCACA